CCUACGGGGGGCAGCAGUGGGGAAUCUUGCGCAAUGGGCGAAAGCCUGACGCAGCGACGCCGCGUGGAGGAUGAGGCCCUUCGGGGUGUAAACUCCUGUUGCCCGGGACGAACGCUGGGGAUAGCCCCAGGUGACGGUACCGGGUGAGGAAGCACCGGCUAACUCUGUGCCAGCAGCCGCGGUAAUACAGAGGGUGCGAGCGUUGUCCGGAAUUACUGGGCGUAAAGGGCGCGUAGGCGGCCCCAUAACGCGUGCCGUGAAAGCCCGGGGCUCAA
rnacentral:rRNA from 1 species